rnacentral:rRNA from 1 species
AUUGAACGCUGGCGGCAUGCUUUACACAUGCAAGUCGAACGGCAGCGCGGGCUUCGGCCUGGCGGCGAGUGGCGAACGGGUGAGUAAUACAUCGGAACGUGCCCAGUAGUGGGGGAUAGCUCGGCGAAAGCCGGAUUAAUACCGCAUACGACCUGAGGGUGAAAGCGGGGGAUCUUCGGACCUCGCGCUAUUGGAGCGGCCGAUGGCAGAUUAGCUAGUUGGUGGGGUAAAGGCCUACCAAGGCGACGAUCUGUAGCUGGUCUGAGAGGACGACCAGCCACACUGGGACUGAGACACGGCCCAGACUCCUACGGGAGGCAGCAGUGGGGAAUUUUGGACAAUGGGCGAAAGCCUGAUCCAGCAAUGCCGCGUGUGUGAUGAAGGCCUUCGGGUUGUAAAGCACUUUUAGCGGGAACGAAAAGGACUGUGCCAAUACCACGGUUCGAUGACGGUACCCGCAGAAUAAGCACCGGCUAACUACGUG